rnacentral:rRNA from 1 species
GUGGGGAAUCUUGCGCAAUGGGCGAAAGCCUGACGCAGCCAUGCCGCGUGAAUGAUGAAGGUCUUAGGAUUGUAAAAUUCUUUCACCGGGGACGAUAAUGACGGAACCCGGAGAAGAAGCUCCGGCUAACUUCGUGCCAGCAGCCGCGGUAAUACGAAGGGGGCUAGCGUUGCUCGGAAUUACUGGGCGUAAAGGGCGCGUAGGCGGACAGCUUAGUCAGAGGUGAAAGCCCAGGGCUCAACCUUGGAAUUGCCUUUGAUACUGGCUGUCUUGAGUUUGGGAGAGGUGAGUGGAACUCCGAGUGUAGAGGUGAAAUUCGUAGAUAUUCGGAAGAACACCAGUGGCGAAGGCGACUCACUGGCCCAAUACUGACGCUGAGGCGCGAAAGCGUGGGGAGCAAACAGGAUUAGAUACCCGUGUAGUCC